rnacentral:misc_RNA from 1 species
GAUGAAGAACGCAGCGAAAUGCGAUAAGUAAUGUGAAUUGCAGAAUUCAGUGAAUCAUCGAAUCUUUGAACGCACAUUGCGCCCGCGAGUAUUCUCGCGGGCAUGCCUGUCCGAGCGUCAUUUCAACCCUCAGGGCCCGCCUGCUCGCAGGCGCGGCGCUGGUGUUGGGGAUCGGCUACCCUGCCGUCCCCCAAAUACAGUGGCGGUCUCGCUGCAGCCUCCCCUGCGUAGUAGCAACACUCGCAUGCGGAGCGCGGCGCGGCCACGCCGUAAAACCCCCGACUUUCUGAACGUUGACCUCGGAUCAGGUAGGAAUACCCGCUGAACUUAAGCAUAUCAAUAAGCGGAGGA